rnacentral:rRNA from 1 species
GUACACUCCUACGGGAGGCAGCAGUGGGGAAUUUUGGACAAUGGGCGAAAGCCUGAUCCAGCCAUGCCGCGUGCAGGAUGAAGGCCUUCGGGUUGUAAACUGCUUUUGUACGGAACGAAACGGCCUUUUCUAAUAAAGAGGGCUAAUGACGGUACCGUAAGAAUAAGCACCGGCUAACUACGUGCCAGCAGCCGCGGUAAUACGUAGGGUGCAAGCGUUAAUCGGAAUUACUGGGCGUAAAGCGUGCGCAGGCGGUUAUGUAAGACAGUUGUGAAAUCCCCGGGCUCAACCUGGGAACUGCAUCUGUGACUGCAUAGCUAGAGUACGGUAGAGGGGGAUGGAAUUCCGCGUGUAGCAGUGAAAUGCGUAGAUAUGCGGAGGAACACCGAUGGCGAAGGCAAUCCCCUGGACCUGUACUGACGCUCAUGCACGAAAGCGUGGGGAGCAAACAGGAUUAGAAACCCUGGUAGUCCCAUGAU